GGACGCGCCCGCUUCUCGCUGGAGUGCGCACCGAGCGGCAGUGACUUCGCCGCUGCUGUAGUUCCCCGGCUGGAUGCGGUGACUGGUGCCAGUGCUCAGGCGCCCGCUGCCCUUGACCUCCCGCCCCGCGAGCCCUAACUCAGCGCAGGAGGACCGGCUGCCGCCGCCGCCGCCGCCAGAUCCACACAACUUAAAGAUCUGCUGUCGAGUGAAUGGGGAAGUGGUCCAGAGCAGCAACACCAACCAGAUGGUAUUCAAGACAGAGGACCUGAUAGCCUGGGUGUCCCAGUUUGUUACCUUUUACCCAGGGGAUGUCAUCCUGACUGGGACCCCCCCACCUCCACCCAGGUGUCGGUGUAUUCAGGAAACCUCCUGUCUUUCUCAAGAAGGGGGAUGAAGUCCAGUGUGAGAUUGAAGAACUAGGUGUCAUCAUCAACAAGGUGGUGUGAUGGCUCCUGCACAGGCCCUGCACAUAGGAUGAGGGCAUCUGCUCCCACUCAGCCUAGCCCAGGGAAAGGCCCAGUGACAGGUGUGGACAGGUGCCAGCCCUGCAAGCCGCCUCUUCUCGGUAGAAGGGAGAAGGACAGAGCUCUCUUCAAUAAAUUCGUCGGGUCAAAGCAGCA
rnacentral:lncRNA from 1 species